rnacentral:lncRNA from 7 species
GUCUUCCAGAACUGAACAGAGCUUUUUCUUGCAACAGCUCCUCAUAGCUGCCAGAAACAAUUAUGGAACUGGGCACUGGAACAGAAAAGAGGCGAACAGUCUUCCUCUGUUCUCAAUGUUCCUCCUGUUGUACACACAGCUCAGAGAAAGAAUCGCUUGGUUUGGAAGACACAGUGCUCAUAAAAAAAUAAUACAGCCUUCAGUUCUACCUGUGGCCGUCUUAUGGUUCCUGUCCUGUGUGCCUGCCUACAUCAGGAAAACUCGAGAGAACCAGACUGUGAGCAUGCAUAGAAGCGAUUUUCCUUCUUCGCUACCAGAGGAGCUGCAGCAGCAAAUGGACUUGAAGAGUUCACAGCUGUGGGGAACUCCUGCCACAGAGACUGCCCGGGAGUCGGGGUUUCCUGAUAUUCCAGGUCUUUGCUCUGAAGCCACAGGAACCCUAGCCCUAGUGAUGCAGCCGAGAGCCAGAACAAACUCUCCGCUUCUAAUGGGACUCCCAGGACAGUCAGGCUUUCACCCAACAAAAAGCCAGAUGCACAGAAACCCGGUCUGCCAAACCCUGACAUUCCUGCCCAAGUUCUCACUCCAAAUUUCCAGAUUCCUGGGUCUCAAUCCAUCCAGUUGACAGGGAAAUGGGGAGAUCCCUUUGCCCAGCUCCCGUUCCCAUCGGUUAACUCAUAUGAUAACUGUGCUUCCCCAGACUGACAUUACAGCCGCUGCUGUAUUUCCUUUUCUGUUCAAAAUAUGAAGGAAUUCACUAACUUUAAAUCUUAAAACAGGUUUCUUGGUGUGUUUUUGCAAUUCUCUUGCAAAAUAUUUACAAUGGUUUAAAUUCAAACGCUGAGCCACAGAAAUUAAAAAAGAAAACAAGUUGUAAGUUCAGUUGCAUGCACAGUCUUCGCCUUACGCUCUUUGAAGGGUACCCUGGCACAUUUCACUCAUGUUAUACAGAUACCAUGAUGUGUAAUGAUAUAGAUAACAAUAAAGUUAACAAAGGCAAUGGUAUCAAUAAGUACGGUCUGCUUAUCUCCUGGGCAAACCUAGAGGGAAAUCCAGCUACAUUCAAGCACGGUAGCAGCAAUAGCUUCCUUUUAAUUUGCUAACCCUCACACACGUAACUGUAUUGUAACUGAAAGAUCCUCACUGUCAUCCUACAUACUCUGAACAAAUGACAGAAUUUGUUCAUCUCUGCUUAGGGCAUUAUCACGUUCAAUCAUUUCCAGUAAUGAACUUCACAUGACAGAACCCAGGUUGCAUUAGAAGACUGAUGUGUUUAUUAACCAUAUUUCCUAUGUAUACGUUUCUACUUCCUAAGUAUUCCCUUAUCUCUGUUUAUGAGAGGUUGAAAGUCACCUGAAGUUGACACUCUGAAACGUCAUAUUCUAACACUGACCUUAACUUUGCAUUAUUAAAAAGGUUUAUAAAUAAAUUCCUGUAUCAACCAGCU